AUGCAGAAAACAAUAACCGACAGCUCUAAGAAUCCUGAACACUUGGACCAGAUUGCAUUCAGCUCAUUGUUUUGCUAUCCAGAAACUAAGAGACACUUAUUUGUGACUGCAUUUCGUCCAGAAUGGGGCUUCCCCCAAAGCUCAAUAGAUACUACAGUUACCAACCACAGCGUUUUUCAAAUCCUGAUAAUACAUGCCAAAAAUUUAACAUAUUGAAAGGAAACAAAUAAG
rnacentral:lncRNA from 1 species